UACGGGGGGGGCAAGCGUUGUUCGGAAUUACUGGGCGUAAAGGGCUCGUAGGUGGCCAACUAAGUCGGACGUGAAAUCCCUCAGCUUAACCGGGGAACUGCGUCCGAUACUGGUUGGCUUGAGUUUGGGAGAGGGAUGCGGAAUUCCAGGUGUAGCGGUGAAAUGCGUAGAUAUCUGGAGGAACACCGGUGGCGAAGGCGGCAUCCUGGACCGGCAUUGACGCUGAGGCGCGAAAGCCAGGGGAGCAAACGGG
rnacentral:rRNA from 1 species